AUGUUUGCUGAGUUCACGGUGGAGACUUCUUGUCAUGACAUAAUAAUACACGGUAGAGAUGACAAUCUACAACAAAUAUCUUAUUUGCAAACUUCAUAUAUGCUUUUGCAGUAUCCUCUUCUCUUUCCCUAUGCAGAACAUUGGUUUCAGCUCGGGCUUAAAUAUAUUGGUUCAAAUCCUUUAGAUACUAGCAAAAGAACCAGGCUCACUAUGCAGGACUAUUAUUCCUAUUGUCUCCACUAUAGACCAGAGCAGCAUAAUCCAUACCUUUGUUGUGGUUUGCUUUCCUCACAGGCCAUUGUAGAUGCACGCGCUUGCAUAGACGAGUGGAGGCUGCAUUUCAUCAUGAAGGCUAAUAAUGAUCUUAGAGCAGAGAACUUGCAAGGAGUCACUGAUGCUGUUGGAAAAGGGUAG
rnacentral:rRNA from 1 species